UACGAAGGGGGCUAGCGUUGCUCGGAAUCACUGGGCGUAAAGGGUGCGUAGGUGGGCAAGUAAGUCAGUGGUGAAAUCUCCGGGCUUAACCCGGAAACUGCCAUUGAUACUAUUUGUCUUGAAUACUGUGGAGGUCAGCGGAAUAUGUCAUGUAGCGGUGAAAUGCUUAGAUAUGACAUGAACAACACUAUCGAAGGCAGCUGGCUACACAAAUAUUGACACUGAGGCACGAAAGCGUGGGGAUCAAACAGG
rnacentral:rRNA from 1 species